rnacentral:rRNA from 1 species
UACGGAGGGGGCAGCGUUGUUCGGAAUUAUUGGGCGUAAAGGGCAUGUAGGCGGUUUGGUAAGUUAAAGGUGAAAUACCAGGGCUUAACCCUGGGGCUGCUUUUAAUACUGCAAGACUAGAGUCCGGAAGAGGAUAGCGGAAUUCCUAGUGUAGAGGUGAAAUUCGUAGAUAUUA